GAUGAACGCUGGCGGCGUGCCUAAUACAUGCAAGUCGAGCGAACGGACGAGAAGCUUGCUUCUCUGAUGUUAGCGGCGGACGGGUGAGUAACACGUGGAUAACCUACCUAUAAGACUGGGAUAACUUCGGGAAACCGGAGCUAAUACCGGAUAAUAUUUUGAACCGCAUGGUUCAAAAGUGAAAGACGGUCUUGCUGUCACUUAUAGAUGGAUCCGCGCUGCAUUAGCUAGUUGCUAAGGUAACGGCUUACCAAGGCAACGAUGCAUAGCCGACCUGAGAGGGUGAUCGGCCACACUGGAACUGAGACACGGUCCAGACUCCUACGGGAGGCAGCAGUAGGGAAUCUUCCGCAAUGGGCGAAAGCCUGACGGAGCAACGCCGCGUGAGUGAUGAAGGUCUUCGGAUCGUAAAACUCUGUUAUUAGGGAAGAACAUAUGUGUAAGUAACUGUGCACAUCUUGACGGUACCUAAUCAGAAAGCCACGGCUAACUACGUG
rnacentral:rRNA from 1 species